GAUGAACGCUAGCGGCAGGCUUAACACAUGCAAGUCGAGGGGUAGAGGAAGCUUGCUUCCUUGAGACCGGCGCACGGGUGCGUAACGCGUAUGCAACCUACCUUUUACAGAGGGAUAGCCCAGAGAAAUUUGGAUUAAUACCUCAUAGUAUAUAGUCUUCGCAUGUUGACUAUAUUAAAGUUCCAACGGUAAAAGAUGGGCAUGCGUCCUAUUAGCUAGAUGGUAAGGUAACGGCUUACCAUGGCAACGAUAGGUAGGGGUCCUGAGAGGGAGAUCCCCCACACUGGUACUGAGACACGGACCAGACUCCUACGGGAGGCAGCAGUGAGGAAUAUUGGACAAUGGGCGCAAGCCUGAUCCAGCCAUGCCGCGUGCAGGAAGACGGUCCUAUGGAUUGUGAACUGCUUUUGUACGGGAAGAAACACUCCUACGUGUAGGAGCUUGACGGUACCGUAAGAAUAAGGAUCGGCUAACUCCGUGCCAGCCGCCGCGGUAAAAC
rnacentral:rRNA from 1 species